AUGCUGCGAGCCUUCUUCCCCCACUCCACGCCCGGGUACCAGCCGCUGCCCCGCCGCCCUGCUGCCACCCAGGCGGGCUCCAGGGGUACGCUGGUACACGAGGCUCAGCUGAGCUGCUCCUAUGUCUCUCCUGGAGGUCCCAGCUAUGGGAGCCCGCGCCCGGCUCACGCCAACAUGAAUGCCAACGCGGCCGCGGGGCUGGCGCCCGAGCACAUCCCCACGCCGGGGGCCGCCCUGUCCUGGCAGGCCGCCAUCGACGCGGCCCGGCAGGCCAAGCUGAUGGGCAGUGCUGGCAACGCGACCAUCUCCACGGUCAGCUCCACGCAGCGGAAGCGGCAGCAGUACGGAAAGCCCAAGAAGCAGGGCAGCGCGACGGCCACCCGCCCGCCCCGCGCCCUGCUCUGCCUGACCCUGAAGAACCCCAUCCGGAGGGCCUGCAUCAGCAUCGUCGAGUGGAAGCCAUUUGAAAUCAUUAUUUUACUGACUAUUUUUGCCAAUUGUGUGGCCUUAGCGAUCUAUAUUCCCUUCCCAGAGGACGACUCCAACGCCACGAAUUCCAACCUGCUUCAGGAAGCCAGUGUGCCCAGCGCUACUGCUCUAACACUCAGCGAACCUACAGAACGUCUCCAGCAGAACCUUAGUGAACAUGUUUGCUGUCAGCCUGUGUUAAGACCUUCAUUCUGCCCUCCCACGCUCUGCUCUGAAACACUGGCCCCAGAUGACGUUCAGGAGAAUAAAAGUGACGUGGCUGGUUUUAAUAUCGAAAACCCAACGUUAAUAAAUGCAGUUUGGAUGGCUGCUCCAGUCCACGAGUCAUUUUAUGAUUUUUUUUUUGUUUUUAGAAGACAGAUGAUGCUGCUGCCUCCAGAGGGUCUUUGUUCAGUCCUCAGCCUUGAAGCCAACAGAAUCAGGUUUGGGAUCAAGGCUCCUGCAGGUGACCCUGGGGAACUCUGAUGUAAGAGGAGCAUUUCCUCCCCAGGACUCCCGACAUGUGCAGUGAGCAUGAUGAGCGUGGAAACCAAGCCGUAGCUCCUGGAGUGAUGACCCAGGGUGGCUCUGGGGCCCUGAGCAGCUUUGGGGGCAGAAUGUCUCGUUUGUGGCCUCUCGGCUUCUACUGUGUCUCUGGGCAAGUGGGGAACCCCUGGACCUCAGUUUCCUGGCCUGUCAGUGCAGAUGCUUGUCCCAAGGUUGGUAAGAGACCAGCAUGAAAUGGAACACCCGCCCCCCACCCCGCCCCCUGACCACCAGCGUUCAUCACAUCUACAAGUCAUGGCUGCUUCUAGUCGUGUUGCAGCGUCUGGGCGAGGUCCGCGGGCCAAGAGCAGGCAGCCAAGCUGGAUAGGACGGAGACCCUGCGGUAUGGACAGGACAGCUUAGAACCCUCUGCGGGAACUGCCUUUGGAGUGCCCGGCUUGGGUCCAUCAGCCGGAGACCCCUGCCUGCAGUGGGGAACUGACUCCCAGGAGAUGCUGCACACAUGUUUCCCACACCUGUUCACCCAGAAGGGCUGUGGCGGGGAGAGGCCACAGCUGGGUGUGGGAUGCAGGGAUCCACUGGGCAGAGGUCCCACACGGCCCUCGGGGGGCAACUGCUGUAUUCCGGAGGUCCCAGAAGUCACAUUCAUCCCAAGGUUGCUCUCACCUCCUUGGGGUUUUAGCUCCUUCCUGGGCAACCCUGUUUCUAACUGCUGGGGUACCCCACCAUCUGUUUUUGAUCGUCCCUCUCCUCUCCUGCCAGCCACCCUCUCUGCCCCCUACACGCCCACCUCAUUUCCCAUCUUAGCAGAGGUGCCUGGGUAGGUUUGCAGGAAGCCUGGUUCUCUCUCAGGGGCUGUGUCCACUGCUGGCUGAGCUCAGCCCUGUGCCCCAUCUGUUCCUUGGCUACAGCCGCUGAACAUCUGUGUGAUGGUGGGGGCGGGAAGCCUGAUGGUGUCCGGAUGGGGGCCAGGGAGGACCCGGCCACGUGCUGACCUCUCCUAGCAGGAGACACCCACCAGAGAGGCCUCAGGAAAGUGAAAAAUGAGAUCACGUUACAAUUGAAAUGUUCUGAAAAGUGAUCUGUGAAGAAUUGGACACCCUUCUUUCAAACGGCUCGAUUACUCCCAGGAAUAGUGUCCAUCCACAGUGAGCACUAAAUUGCUGGGUCGGCUGGGAAAUGCUGCUGCUGCUGCAGAAUCAAUGCUAAUUGAAUCAUUAGGGCAUCAUCACCCAAGAGGCCAGCAGCCCAGGAUGCUACGUCCCGGCCCUGCUGGGUCUGGUCCUCAAAGGAGCAACAAGCCUGCCUGCCCCCCGACGGCACCUCUCUGGAGUCAGGUAGGCAGUGUGGAAAUUUCCUUCCACUGAAAAAUAAGACUUUUUGAAAUCCAUGCUACUGAAGAACCUUGACAAGCAAGAAGUCAGAGGAGAAUUUGCACUGCGUUUUGCAAAUCUUCGGGUGGGUUCCGUCCUAUGUGAGGAUGUAGCUGGAGCUUCACUGAAACAGCCAGCAUCCAUCAGAAGCUCUUGGUCUGAGUAGGGAACAUGAGGCAGGACCUGUGACAGGGGCUGCAGGCUGGACACCAAGGUCUGGCUGCAGCUGGCUGGGUGACUCCCCCGGGCGCACGGCAUUUGUAAGUUUCCAGUGGCUUCAUCUCACACUAGCAAGCCUGACUGCCCAGGGCAGGACUGAGGGGUUCCCACAUACCACAUGGUUCUCCUGUGUCUCCCUUGCCUGUCAAGCCUGAGCCACACCCAUGCAUGCACACCCAUGCACGCACACACAUACCCAUGCGUGAACACACAGAGACACGCGACUCCUCCCACUCAGUCCGCAGCUCUGCUCUGCGCCAGCCCCAGCCUCUGCUCCACGUCAUUUCUCUGCAGGACCUCCUCCUUGUCCCCCACGUCCACCUCCCCUCUCCAAGCCGUGUGCUCCCCCGGCCCCUCUCCCGUGGGCUGCCACCUGCACUGUUCUGCACUGGACCCCCCUCUGCGUGUCACCCCCUUGGCUCUGGUGGCCAGCCCAUUGGCAGGUACCCAGUGGAGACUUAUGGCAAAGGUUAGCCUGUGUGGCCCUCGCUGCCCCACCUGGCCCAUGUGUGUCCCUUCUUCCCACCCCAGCUUUCACCCACUGCCCCUGCCCUUGGCCCUUCCAGCUUGGCUGUGAUUGUCUGGGGGCUGGUGAGCAAAGCAGGUACAGAGUGUUUGGCCAGAAAAGAACCCGCGAGUACACCAUUAAUGGGUUGUACUUAUGGGCAGAAAUCCCACAAACAUCCCUCUUCUCUGUGGGCCCCUUGGCCCCCGUCCAGGGGAAGAAGGCUGUCAUCACGCCUCCGUCGUACAUGGAAACACUCAGGCCUGCUGCCUCACGUGCCCAGCCAUCUCUUCUGUCUUCUCCAUCAGUGGGACGGAGAGAAUCACCACGAGGGGACUUGGGCUAUGCUGUGUGUUUCCCUCUUUUUCCAAACACAGAGUCCCCGCUACCUGGGAUGUCUUGUUGUCAGGGUGACCCUUUGAAAAAGCUGAACGAUAGUGGGAAUGUCCGAGCGUGCAGGUAUGUGCCGUACAUGUGUGCACCCUGGCAUAUGUGCAUGCUUGUGCGUGCACGUCUGCGUGUGUGUGCAGACCUGCAUGGGGCACGCGGGUGUGCGCACACACAAGCCAGUGAGCGUGCGGGCAGGAGGGAGCUGGAGCGGGGGGAGAUAUGUAUGUGAUCAAUC
ensembl:lincRNA